AGAAGAAAAAGGCAGAAGUUAGCAACGCUUCGACACAAAAAAAAACCCGAAGGCGACGACGUGUAAUUGAGUUGAAAAGAUUCAAAAUGUUGAAAAGGUUGAUAGAAGAGCGACUAAUGGCGGCGGCUGAUGAAAUAUUCGCGCUGUUCGAAAGAACGAUGGCGUCGUACGAGGAGCAGCUUUCUCGAACUCGAGAGGAGAAGGAGCGAUAUCGACGACAACUGGAAGCUGUUGCUAGCAAGACUGGAAUUCUACUACAAACUCCAGGAGUUUGCAUGUUCUCCCCGUGACUGCGUGGGUUCCCUCCGGCUUCCUCCCACCUCCAAAGACAUGCACCUGGGGAUAGGCCCCUCCCACUUCCAAAGACAUGCACCUGAGGAUAGGUUGAUUGGCAACACUAAAUGGUCCCUAGUGUGUGAAUGUGAGUGUGAAUCAGUGACGUGCGGUGAGGUUGAUGGCUGUUGAGCAGUGUUGGGUUAGUUACUGAAAACCAGUAACUAGUUACAGUUACUAGUUACUUUAUUUCAAAAGUAACUCAGUUACGGUACUAACUCAGUUACUUAAACCAAAAAGUAAUGCGUUACUGUGAAAAGUAACUAUUUAGUUACUUUUUAUUUUAUUUUAUUUUUUUAAGGCCCCAUUUAAUGCCCUUUUAGCCUUCAUUUUAGUACUGUUAUUGCACUGGACAAUAAUACAAUGUGUUGAUCAACUUGACAUGCAUUUGCAUCACUGAACUCUGCUAAGCAAUGUGGUCUACAUACAACACACAAACAAUGUGCUCUACAUACAACACACAAACAAUGUGCUCUACAUACAACACACAAAGACAAAGAGAUGUUUUAAACGGCCAAUUUGUUUCAGACCAGAACAAAUUGAAAAAACUAUUUUAAAUAGCUGCAACUUAACAUACAUAAGUAACAAACAGCAUAAUAACAACAUAGCUGUAAAACAAGAAAGGCACACACUACAUACAUAAAGCCUAACCAGGCAUUUUUUUUAUCUCAAGUAAUUCUGAAAUAAAAUCAUGUCUGAAGCCCAGAACACUCUACACAUUUCCCCACUUAGUUUAGAGAAAAGGAAAUAUUAGCCUGGCCCACUAGUAUCCCUCUUUAGGUUUGUGAACUUUAUAGUCUAAACAUUUAGAGUGAUGUGAUAAUCAAACACUCUAAAAGUCUAAAAUGAAAGAGUAUAUAAGAGAAUUGACAGAGUGUGUGUACCUUCAGUGUGCAGUGCCUCAUUAAAAUCCAGCCGCUGUUGGAGGUGGAGGUGAAGUGUGUGUCUCUUUACUAGCUUCGUCGAAGCAUGUUGUUUUUGUAGCUGUUUCAGCAUAUUUGAAACUUACAUUCAACUAAAAUGUUCUUUUCUUUGUGGUCGAUAAAAGAAACGUACUGAAAAUAUCUCCAUUUUAAGAAACUCGGCUUCGGGGUUCGCCAUGACGUCUUGAUAGUAGACACAGACACGCCCCCUCCCACACACACACACACACACACACACACACACACACACACACACACACACACACACACACACACACACACACACGUACACACAGACAGCGCGCGGCGCGCCUCUUUUUUGUCGCCUCUUCAGCAGCGCUGCAACACUCAGAUCUUCUCAGUUUCUAGCCGAUACUGCGUUAUUUUGCGUUAUUUUUUAUGUAGUAACGCAUCAUGUAGUAACGGUAACUUAGUUACUGAAUAUAAAAAAUAACGCGUUAGAUUACUAGUUACCGCCGAUAGUAACGGCGUUACAGUAACGCGUUAGUUUGUAACGCGUUAGUCCCAACACUGCUGGUGAGGCACUGACUUCAUCACAGUCAGAUUUACAAACAUAUGAACCCUAAAGAGUAUCUUAUUCACCAUUUGA